rnacentral:rRNA from 1 species
UACAGAGGUCUCAAGCGUUGUUCGGAUUCAUUGGGCGUAAAGGGCGCGUAGGCGGCUUGGUAAGUCGGGGUGAAGUCAGCGGCUCAACCGCUGGACUGCCUUCGAGACUGCCUGGCUUGAGCAUGGUAGAGGCUGGCGGAAUUCCCGGUGUAGCGGUGGAAUGCGUAGAGAUCGGGAAGAACAUCGGUGGCGAAGGCGGCAGCUGGGCCAUUGCUGACGCUGAUGCGC